AAAGCUUGGUGUGAUUGGAAACUUCUAGGCUACAUGGGAGAUCAGUCAAAGAGUGUUAGGGAUGCUUUUGUUGAGCAUGGCACAUUCAGAGGCCGUACGGAAGGGAAAAUAUCCAGCUACUUAAUUUGGAGCACGCGCGAUCGGCCUAAAGGAAUGCUGUUACUUCCCUCUCCUUCUCCUAAGCAUGAAUAUGUAAAUGCCCGAGCACUAGUUACUAGCAUUGAGAUCGAGGAAGUAGCAGUUUGAUUCAGAGAUGAGGGUG